rnacentral:rRNA from 1 species
UACGUAGGGGGCAAGCGUUGUCCGGAAUCAUUGGGCGUAAAGAGCGUGUAGGCGGCUCGGUAAGUCCGCUGUGAAAGUCCAGGGCUCAACCCUGGAAUGCCGGUGGAAACUGCCGAGCUAGAGUCCGGAAGAGGCGAGUGGAAUUCCUGGUGUAGCGGUGAAAUGCGCAGAUAUCAGGAGGAACACCAAUGGCGAAGGCAGCUCGCUGGGACGGUACUGACGCUGAGGCGCGAAAGCGUGGGGAGCGAACAGG